rnacentral:rRNA from 1 species
UACGUAGGGUGCGAGCGUUGUCCGGAAUUAUUGGGCGUAAAGGGCUCGUAGGCGGUUUGUCGCGUCGGGAGUGAAAUCCACUGGCUUAACUGGUGGCUUGCUUUCGAUACGGGCAGACUGGAGGUAUGCAGGGGAGAACGGAAUUCCUGGUGUAGCGGUGUAAUGCGCAGAUAUCAGGAGGAACACCGGUGGCGAAGGCGGUUCUCUGGGCAUGUCCUGACGCUGAGGAGCGAAAGUGUGGGGAGCGAACAGG